rnacentral:tRNA from 1 species
GCGCUCGUAGCUCAGUGGAUAGAGCGGUGGUUUCCGGUACCACGUCAGUCGGGGGUUCGAAUCCCUUCGAGCGCG